rnacentral:rRNA from 1 species
GAUGAACGCUGGCGGCGUGCCUAAUACAUGCAAGUCGAGCGAACGGACGAGAAGCUUGCUUCUCUGAUGUUAGCCGCGGACGUGUGAGUAACACGUGGAUACCCUCCCUAUAAGACUGGGAUCACUUCGGGACUCCGGAUCUAAUAACGUAUGAUCUUUUGAACCGCAUGGUUCAUAAGUGAAAGUCGGCCUUGCUGUCACUUAUCGCUGCAUCCGCGCUGCAUUAUCUAGUUGGUAAGGUAACGGCUUACCACGGCAACGAUGCAUAGCCGACCUGAGAGGGGGAUCGGCCACACUGGAACUGAGCCGCGGUCCAGAGUCCUAGGGAAGGCAGCAGUAGGGACGCUGCCGAAAUGGGCGAAAGCCUGACGGAGGAACGCCGCGUGGGUGAUGAAGGUCUUCGGAUCGUAAAACUCUGUUAUUAGGGAAGAACAUAUGUGUAAGUAACUGUGCACAUCUUGAGGGUACCUAUAAGAAAGCCACGGCUAACUACGUG